GGGCCCAUAGCUCAGUUGGUUAGAGCAGCGGACUCAUAAUCCGUUGGUCCUAGGUUCAAGUCCUAGUGGGCCCA
rfam:Gammaproteobacteria bacterium RIFCSPLOWO2_02_FTLL_42_14 rifcsplowo2_02_scaffold_2264, whole genome shotgun sequence.